rnacentral:rRNA from 1 species
CAUCGGAACGUACCCAGUUGUGGGGGAUAGCCCGGCGAAAGCCGGAUUAAUACCGCAUACGACCUGAGGGUGAAAGGGGGGGAUCGCAAGACCUCUCGCAGUUGGAGCGGCCGAUGGCGGAUUAGCUAGUUGGUGAGGUAAAGGCUCACCAAGGCGACGAUCCGUAGCUGGUCUGAGAGGACGACCAGCCACACUGGAACUGAGACACGGUCCAGACUCCUACGGGAGGCAGCAGUGGGGAAUUUUGGACAAUGGGGGCAACCCUGAUCCAGCCAUUCCGCGUGAGUGAAGAAGGCCUUCGGGUUGUAAAGCUCUUUCGGCAGGAACGAAACGGUGUGGGCCAAUACCCUGCAUCAAUGACGGUACCUGAAGAAGAAGCACCGGCUAACUACGUGCCAGCAGCCGCGGUAAUACGUAGGGUGCGAGCGUUAAUCGGAAUUACUGGGCGUAAAGCGUGCGCAGGCGGUUCUAUAAGACAGAUGUGAAAUCCCCGGGCUUAACCUGGGAACUGCGUUUGUGACUGUAGGACUCGAGUGUGGCAGAGGGGGGUGGAAUUCCACGUGUAGCAGUGAAAUGCGUAGAGAUGUGGAGGAACACCGAUGGCGAAGGCAGCCCCCUGGGUUAACACUGACGCUCAUGCACGAAAGCGUGGGGAGCAAACAGGAUUAGAUACCCUGGUAGUCCACGCCCUAAACGAUGCGAACUAGGUGUUGGAGAAGGAGACUUCUUUAGUACCGUAGCUAACGCGUGAAGUUCGCCGCCUGGGGAGUACGGUCGCAAGAUUAAAACUCAAAGGAAU